rnacentral:RNase_P_RNA from 2 species
AGGUGACUAGACGAUCGCGUGCCCCUUGCGGGUAUGAGGAAAGUCCGAGCACCAUAGGGCAAGGGUGCCGGUUAACGGCCGGUGGAGGCGACUCCAAGGAAAGUGCAACAGAGAUACACCGCCAGCGCUUGCGCUGGUAAGGCUGGAAAGGCGAGGUAAGAGCUCACCCGCGGCUUGGCGACUUGUCCGCGAUGUAAACCCCACCCGGUGCAAGGUCGGCAUAGAGGCACAUGCGGCGGCCCGUCGCGUCUCUUACGACCGCUUGAGCCCGCGCGGUAACGCCGGGCCUGGAUAGAUGAUCGUCCACGACAGAACUCGGCUUAUCGGUCA